UAGGGAAUCUUCCACAAUGGGCGAAAGCCUGAUGGAGCAACGCCGCGUGUGUGAUGAAGGCUUUCGGGUCGUAAGCACUGUUGUAUGGGAAGAACAGCUAGAAUAGGAAAUGAUUUUAGUUUGACGGUACCAUACCAGAAAGGGACGGCUAAAUACGUGCUAG
rnacentral:rRNA from 1 species